rnacentral:lncRNA from 1 species
CGGGGAAGAUCUCGAAACUAUAUAGGGUGUUAACUUGGCUCAAACCCGCGAAAUCCCGGGGAUUCGUUACCUCUUUCGAUGUCCCGGUUGGAUACGGCGCAGGGGAGGAAGAAAGGUAGGAGAGGAAGGAGGACGCUGACCAGUGGGCCCGAUCUGUCAGCGAGAGAAAGAGAACGGGCCCGGUUGGCAGUGAAACGGGAAGGGGAAAGGAGCAGGGCGCGCGCAGGAUCCUACUGGGCCGGCCUGCCUUGGGCCAGGGGGAAGCCAGGGAAGCUGGGCUGGCCGAAAGCCACCAGGUAAGUCUUCUCUUUUUUUCGUUUUUUUUUCCUUUUCCAAAACCUUUUCCAAAAGGGAUUUUAAAUCAUUCUCAAAGAUUAAACAAAACACACAGUACAAAAUUAAAUAUGCUUUAGCAUGAAUGCAUAAACAUGUUGCUAAAACCUAUAAUAACUUUUAAUUUAAUGAAAGUAUCAUUUUCCCUAUAUUUCAUGAGCACAAAAAAAUACAAAAUUAAAUUAUUUUUCAUCUAUUUCCAAAAGAACAAAAUUUAAGGUGUUACAAAUCUACCUCCCUUAAAAUGAAUCUCGUCCUCGAGAUUCGGAAAGGCACGAAUUCUAAAAGAGAAACAAGAACAAGAUCUUGAUAUCUAUUUCAACUUCACAACUUGUAUUCCGAUGUAAACACUUAUGUCUCGGGAUCACAACUUGUGAACAAAACUUCCAUAAAAUGUCUAUUAUUCAUAGCUGAUUAAAAUCCAUCUUGACUACCAACUUUUCAACUUAUACAACUCGAAGACAUGAUAUCUCGGCAUGGAUAUGCCUUCUCAUGUAGGAGUGGACCACCUUGAUACUCAAUUCUUUUCCCUGAUGGUGCAGUCAAGAAAAUUUUCCACUGGGUAGCAUAGAUCACUGCCUUGUGUGCACAUAACCAUCCAUUGCCAAGAACCAAAGGAAUAUUGAGUGACUCUAGCACAAUGAGGUUUACAGUGAAGUUUUCCUUCUUUAUGACAAGAUUGAUAUUUGAGCAAACCUAAUCUGCCUGUAUUUCUCCCAUUGGGGUUUGAACUAACAAAGGCUUUCUCGUCGGACACUUCACCCAUUCGAUUGUCUUUACCAAGUCGGCGGAUAUGAAAGAAUGUGAAGCACUUCGGUCAAACAGAACAAAAACUAGUACUGAGUCCACUUGAAUAUAGCCUCCCACCACUUUGGUGGCUCCUUGAAUGUUAUGUCUAUCCACAUUGUUCAGUCUUCCAUUAAUAUAAUUUUGCUGCACUUUAUUUCCGAGAGCAGGCUUCUUACGAGCUUUCCUUUUACGCUUCCGUCGUUGUGGAUUUUGAUUUGAUUCAUUGUCAACUUGCUCCUCAAUAUUAUUAUUUUGAUAACACUCAGCUUUGUCAUACUCAUAGCAUCUUUCUUCAAAAUCAAGAUGAUCAUAUUCUUCCCACCUAUCCAUGAGAGGCGUCAUAUUAUGCUCCGAAUCCAUGGGACACUACACUCCCUGUCAUCAAGUGACCAAUGUCAGGAACACGGCAAGGAUAGAUGAUCAUAACCAUAGAAUAUCUCAGAAGACAAUUAUCACUUCAAGCUAGUUUUAAAAUACAUCAUCCGUGAUAUCAAGGUACUACCCCCCUUAAAAUGAGAUUGAUUGGGGAACACUAGGGACUACUUCUCCUAUCCUUUUUAGACACUACACAUCAUAUAGUCUUUUAAAUUCGCUGUACUGAGUCUCUUGAUCCAACAUUAUCCAAUUCUUCUCCAGGUAACCCCUUUAUUUGGGCUACCCCCUUAGUAAAAGUCAUCUAGGGGGCAAAAGGUAGCUUGCAUGUUUUCUCGGCUGGUUAACUAACAUUGAGAACCUCUGACAUCCCAAAGAACUUAUGUGUAAGGGGAGGACAAACAGGUACCCUGAAUUUUUCUCAUGAUAUGAAAACACCAGCGUAGUAAAAUACAUAUAACUCUUAUCCUGUCAAUCCAAUAGAGUUAUAGCUUAUACUGUUAGAAAACUUAUGAAAUUCUCUACCACUUUCAUGUAGAAGACCUCCUUAGAUUCUGUCUUUAAGCUCAGGUAAAACAACCAAAUAUAAUCUCCUUCCUGAUAAUGUCUCAGCAAAGGUGCAGUAAUUUCUAGAAGUUAUAUCUCGAGCUACUUAACUCCUCUGGAGAUGAUCCUUACAUUUUUGAAAAGCGUAGGAAAUCCUUUACAACUUUCGUAUACAACUUUUUCCCAGAUUCUGUCUUUAACUUGGCUGAAAAUGGGAAAUACCAGAUCUGUCCAGAUUUUGGAAACAGAACAGAGACAUCCAGUUGUAAAUAUUAUAUCUCAGGUUCUACUUAUCCAAAUGAGUUACAGAUUAUACUGUUGGAAAGCUUAGCAAAUUUUCUACAACGUUUCUAUAGAACACUUUUCCAAAUUCUAUAGUUACAUUUGUCUUAAAUAGUAGGCAACCGAAACUGGUCCAGGUUCUUGACAGCACAGUUGUAUCAUCUUGUGAUUUUUGUAACUUCCAAACCAUAACAGCUAUGAGAGUGAUUCUUGUGGUCAGAGAAAGAUCUUGAAGUCUAGUUGUUCCCAGAAAAAUUUGGUAAAAAUUUCCCGAUCGGAUCUUGAUGUACACCAUGAUUAUUGCAGACUGCUCCAGAAAUCAGCAAAAGAUAGAAACAGGAGAUAGCCAAACCCAACUACUUAUUUCAUUACUCCAUAUGCCUUAGGCCUAUAAACUAAAUGAUAUUGUGGAGAAAACCCACAAGAUCAUUGCACUCAUUACAAAGAUCCAAAUCAAGCAUAAACAUAAUAACAAACCAAUUAAGCACACUUCACUCAAUUUGCGAUACUAUCGUUCUCUUCAUAGCAAGGGUAGAAAUCUUAAAACACCUAUUCCAACGAUGCCAGAAGGUGGUAAGAAAAAGUUCUAAAAGCAUAUCAAGCAAGGAGUGGGGAUGAGAACAAGUACUUUUAAAAUAAGCAACAAGGUAGAGACAAAUAGCAAUGAUAGGGAUAUAGUAUGGAUGAAAAUACCAAGGUUUAUAGAGCAAGGAUUUUAUGACAAUUCCGAAACCUUAAGGCGACCAAUUUCUAACUAGGCUUGCGUCCUACAGUCAGCAUUGCUUUGAUACCACUUUGUAAUACCCGAUUUUAAGGACAAAAUCAGAUACGCACCAUAUGUGAGUUUUAGAAGUCAAAUCCCACAUAUAGCUACAAAUAAGGGGUAAUAUCAAAAGACAAUGCAUAAGUAUAUAACGUACUUAGUAUAAAAGAGAUAACCUUUAAUAGCAUACAGCGGAUAGACAACUCCAACUUCGGGUAUUAACUUCUUUCUAUAGAAUCCAACUGACUGGUUGAUCACAAGCCUAAACUUCUCCUGAGGUUUGGGGGAAAUAGCAAGAGUGAGUCCAUGUCGAACUCAACAAGUAUAGCAACUAGAUUGUAUGGCUCCCACAAUCUCAUGAUCAAUGUGACAUAAAUUAUGUAAAGCAUUAAACAAUAAUUAUGAGCAUAUUUAACACACAAGAAUCAUCACCCUUAAUGUAGAUGUCCCCAAGGCCGCUCCUGACCCUGAGCUCGGCUAGUAUACCAGUUUUACACUCUGCAGAGGUUGUACAUCUUUACCCAUGAGUCAUGAUUUACCCUUUCGCCCGAGGUAGCUAAUCUCUUAACCUCCUUCCUAGGGAGGUCGGCAGGGAUCACUAUGAAGUCUUUCAAAGGUUUGUCUAACAAGUUAGGGCCGCUUGGUUUCAUUAGUCAGUCCAUGUGAUUCACCCGCAGGAAUCCACGGUCUGCUAUUCCCCAAUUGCGCCACAACGGGUAACUGCUAACGAGCUAGAAAAGUUACUCAUACUUAACCAAAGCCAGAGCCAUUAUAGCCCUCAUGGUUGCACUGUUGUCGCGGGUGAUCACGUACAGACAAAUCAUCAAGUUGCUAAAAAGUCAUUUUUAUCGUUUAUUACUUAACAUUAAUCUAGUCACAGGAUCACGGGUCACAGAAAUAUAAUCCAAAUGCUAUACUUGCCUUGAUCCAAAUGCUCUUGCUGAUCCUGCUGAUCUUACUAGUUUUCCAAGGCUCUGAUCUUGAUCACUGAAGUACUCUUGUUCACCACGAAAUGCUCACCGCCUAACCUCGAUCAUCGAUCAUCGAUACACGAACAAUCGAAGAAAACAUACACGAAGCAAACAAGGCUAUAAUUAGAACAGUACACCAAUCAUACAAAAAUAGUAUGAAAAGUUUAUAAAAUGAUUCUACGCAUCGCUACGAUUUCAUAGACUAAAGAUCACGAAAAUCGGAGUUGAAACGGAGAAGGUAUGAAUUUUCUAAGAUUUUAUGUAGAAAAGAAAUUAAUUAAUUAAAGUCACGAAAUUAAAAAGUUUCAAACUGAGUAAACAAUUUUACUAACAGGUAGAUCUUUCAAAGACUAAUCCAACGCAAUUUGAAUGGGUCAAAUCGGACUUAAAACGAAGAUUUUAUGAGCUAAAUAAAAUCAGUGGCAAACUCGUAAAUACUGAAAACGUAUUUUGAAUUCAAACUGUGGCAGUUUACGUUUUCAACAUAGCAAAGCGUAUUUUUCUAUGGGUGUUAUGGACCGCGGGUUGAAAAACAAACUUUCCCGAGGACUCUUUAACAAAAAUCCCAGCCGAAGAGGUAAGUUUUGUUUUCGGCCGUUGGAUUUCGAUCCGAUGGCUCAGAUUAGAAACAGGAGGGGGAGAGGGAACCGCCGGCGGCCUGAGCGGCGGCGCCAUGGCCGGGAUAGAGUGGAGCUCGCCGGAGUUCUAUCAAAAUACGAUUUCGGCCUCGGUUUUCGAUGGGAAAAGAACUGGGAGAUAGAGAAGCUUCGUGCGAACUUACCUAGGGCAAAACGCAAUGGCGAGGAGGGCUCGGAGAUGACAGGCCACGCGAUUUGGCGGCCGGAAGCCUUCCUGCAAGUUCGGCGUCGGUUAGGGAGUCGCUGGAAGCACCAUAAACUGUAGAGAACGAACCUGCGGCUUCGCAAGGGCUUCACAGACCUCGGCAGCAACUCACCUGAGCACGAACGCCACGAAAAAGAGAGGUUCACCGAGGCGGAUUGGCCCCGGGUUCGCCGAGAUCCGAAAAACGGCAACGGUAGGGCUAGGGCUCAACUCGGUGUGCGUCUAAGCAAAAAGGGUGUUGCGGGGAAGAUCUCGAAACUAUAUAGGGUGUUAACUUGGCUCAAACCCGCGAAAUCCCGGGGAUUCGUUACCUCUUUCGGUGUCCCGGUUGGAUACGGCGCAGGGGAGGAAGAAAGGUAGGAGAGGAAGGAGGACGCUGACCAGUGGGCCCGAUCUGUCAGCGAGAGAAAGAGAACGGGCCCGGUUGGCAGUGAAACGGGAAGGGGAAAGGAGCAGGGCGCGCGCAGGAUCCUACUGGGCCGGCCUCCCUUGGGCCAGGGGGAAGCCAGGGAAGCUGGGCUGGCCGAAAGCCACCAGGUAAGUCUUCUCUUUUUUUUUGUUUUUUUUCCUUUUCCAAAACCUUUUCCAAAAGGGAUUUUAAAUCAUUCUCAAAGAUUAAACAAAACACACAGUACAAAAUUAAAUAUGCUUCAGCAUGAAUGCAUAAACAUGUUGCUAAAACCUAUAAUAACUUUUAAUUUAAUGAAAAUAUCA